UCCAGACUCCUACGGGAGGCAGCAGUGGGGAAUAUUGGGCAAUGGGCGCAAGCCUGACCCAGCAACGCCGCGUGAAGGAAGAAGGCUUUCGGGUUGUAAACUUCUUUUGACAGGGAAGAGCAGAAGACGGUACCUGUCGAAUAAGCCACGGCUAACUACGUGCCAGCAGCCGCGGUAAUACGUAGGUGGCGAGCGUUAUCCGGAUUUAUUGGGCGUAAAGCGUCCGCAGCCGGUUUAUUAAGUAUAGAAUAAAACUUCGGGGCUCAACCCCGUCUCGUUCUAUAAACUGAUAGACUAGAGUGUGGUAGAGGCAAGUGGAAUUUCUAGUGUAGCGGUAGAAUGCGUAGAUAUUAGAAGGAACACCAGUGGCGAAGGCGACUUGCUGGGCCUUCACUGACGGUCAGGGACGAAAGCGUGGG
rnacentral:rRNA from 1 species